UGCAAAUCCCAAAUUAAUCCCAACACCUUCCCGGCUUGGCCUUGCUUCGCUUCCGCAUGCCUCCUCCUCGUCGCCAGCCUCCCAAACCCUAGCCCGCGCCGCCCUUUCCCAGAAACCCUAGAUCUCCCUAUGUCCUCCGCCGCUGCUGCACGCCCCAGUCGGUGGGUCAGGUCGUGGAGCGGUUCCGCGCGCGGCUGCGCGAGGAGGCGGGAGAGGAGCCG
rnacentral:lncRNA from 1 species